UUCUUUAAUUGGAACCAGUUGUCAGUGUUACUCCUUUACUUUUAACUGGAACUUGUGCAGUAGCGUUUCAUAAUUUUAUUACAUUUUUUUUGUUGAACUCUUUUUUCCUUAAUUGUUGUGCUUGUCUAAACAUUUGGUGACAAGUACACAUAAUGCGGGGAAUGCUAUAAAUUGUUCUUUUUUUGUUGUAUUCUGAGGUAUUGUGUUUUGUUGUUCCAGGAGUGGCCAGAAGAAGUAUAUCCUCCUUAUGCAAAUGGACCUGCAUAUGUAAUUUCCAGUGAUAUUGUUACAUUCAUCCUAUCUCAACACAAGGAUAGGAGGCUAAGGCUCUUUAAAAUGGAGGAUGUAAGCAUGGGAAUGUGGGUUGAGAGAUAUAAUAGUACUGUUGCUCCAGUCCAGUACUCCCACAACUGGAAGUUUUGUCAGUAUGGAUGCAUGGAGGGCUACUUCACUGCACAUUACCAAUCACCAAGACAGAUGAUCUGUCUGUGGGACAAAUUAUCAAGAGGUCGAGCUCGUUGCUGCAACUUCAGAUGACCGCAAGUAUAACAACUUUACAUCUUUGACUUGCCACUGUAUCUUUGUAUUCUUUAUAUCCUUGUCCCGAUCUUAGUUCACCUAGGUUAAUAUUUGGAGAAAACUACGAUGACAACAAAAGUUAUAACAAAUUCAAUUUGCAAGAAAUAGAAUUUUGCACUAAUGUUUCCCGAAGAGAGGAAUGAAAAGAACUGAGAUGAAGCAUCAUACACUACUAUGGGGUUGGUCUGGGAGAGGGGUGCAAGGUGAAUCACUGUAGUCUUAGAAAUUUCCAUUCGGUACUUGUGCAUUUUUCUGGCUGAGGGUUAAAUUUUGUGGGUAUUUCAUGCUUUAUACCUAGCGUCCCAAGCAGGAUCUCUGAUGUCAUUCACUUAUGUGUGGUGGUACAAUUGAAAAGUUUAAUUGCUUAUUGUUAUUCCAAACAAAAAGUUAGGUGAGGGUAGGGGAGAGUACCUUAUUUUAUGGCUAAAUAUGUUUUAUUGAGGGCUUUUAACAAUGAAUGAAAGUGUAGUGAUAGAAGUUGUACCUAA